rnacentral:rRNA from 1 species
GAUGAACGCUAGCGGCAGGCUUAACACAUGCAAGUCGAGGGGCAGCAUAAAUAGUAGCAAUACUAUUGGUGGCGACCGGCGGACGGGUGCGUAACGCGUAUACAACCUUCCCUAAACAGGGGGAUAAUCUGGAGAAAUUCGGUCUAAUACCCCAUAACAUCAGAGCAGGCAUCUGUUUUGGUUAAAAUUUCCGGAGGUUUAGGAUGGGUAUGAGUAGCAUUAGCUAGUUGGUGAGGUAACGGGUCACCAAGGCGACGAUGCUUAGGGGGACUGAGAGGUUAACCCCCCACACUGGUACUGAGACACGGACCAGACUCCUACGGGAGGCAGCAGUGAGGAAUAUUGGUCAAUGGGCGGAAGCCUGGACCAGCCAUGCCGCGUGCAGGAUGACGGCUCUAUGAGUUGUAAACUGCUUUUGUACGAGGGUAAAGUGGGCUACGUGUAGCCUUUUGAAAGUAUCGUACGAAUAAGGAUCGGCUAACUCCGUGCCAGCCGUCGCCGUAA